GGAGUCCACGCAGAGAGUUUGAAAUAUUAUGCGAAAUGCUGCAUGUAUCUUCAGGAGAGGAGGACUUCCAGAGAUGGGCCAGUUUUUAGCCUGAGGCCAAAGCAUCCUUUGACCACCAAGAUGAGCUUUCUAAUGGACAUAACACAGCAUUUGGAAAACCAACUCAUCUUACUUGAUAACUAAAAAUAAGUCAUUAUUAUACC
rnacentral:lncRNA from 1 species